AAUAGAUACCCAGGUAGUCCACGCCGUAAACGAUGAGUGCUAAGUGUUAGAGGGUUUCCGCCCUUUAGUGCUGCAGCAAACGCAUUAAGCACUCCGCCUGGGGAGUACGGCCGCAAGGCUGAAACUCAAAGAAUUGACGGGGACCCGCACAAGCGGUGGAGCAUGUGGUUUAAUUCGAAGCAACGCGAAGAACCUUACCAGGUCUUGACAUCCUCUGAUACUCCUAGAGAUAGGAAUUUCCCCUUCGGGGGACAGAGUGACAGGUGGUGCAUGGUUGUCGUCAGCUCGUGUCGUGAGAUGUUGGGUUAAGUCCCGCAACGAGCGCAACCCUUGAGAUUAGUUGCCAGCAUUCAGUUGGGCACUCUAAUUUGACUGCCGGUGACAAACCGGAGGAAGGUGGGGAUGACGUCAAAUCAUCAUGCCCCUUAUGACCUGGGCUACACACGUGAUACAAUGGAUGGUACAAAGGGCAGCGAGACCGCGAGGUUCAGCGAAUCCCAUAAAACCAUUCUCAGUUCGGAUUGC
rnacentral:rRNA from 1 species